GAUGAACGCUGGCUACAGGCUUAACACAUGCAAGUCGAGGGGAAACGACGGGGAAGCUUGCUUCCCCGGGCGUCGACCGGCGCACGGGUGAGUAACGCGUAUCCAACCUGCCUCUGACUGAGGGAUAACCCGUCGAAAGUCGGCCUAAUACCUCAUGGCAUCGUCUGCGGGCAUCCAACGACGAUUAAAGAUUUCUACGGUCAGGGGUGGGGCUGCGUCUGAUUAGCCAGUUGGCGGGGUAACGGCCCACCAAAGCGACGAUCAGGAGGGGUUCUGAGAGGAAGGUCCCCUACAUUGGAACCGAGACACGGUCCAAACUCCUACGGGAGGCAGCAGUGAGGAAUAUUGGUCAAUGGGCGAGAGCCUGAACCAGCCAAGUAGCGUGCAGGAUGACGGCGCUAUGGGUUGUAAACUGCUUUUAUGCGGGGAUAAAGUGAGGGACGUGGCCUUCAUUGCAGGUACCGCAUGAAUAAGGACCGGCUAAUUCCGUG
rnacentral:rRNA from 1 species